GGAGGAUUACCCAAGUCCGGCUGAAGGGAACGGUCUUGAAAACCGUCAGGCGUGUAAAGCGUGCGUGGGUUCGAAUCCCACAUCCUCCU
rnacentral:tRNA from 3 species